rnacentral:rRNA from 1 species
GACGGAGGGCGCAAGCGUUGUUCGGAAUUACUGGGCGUAAAGGGCUCGUAGGCGGCCAACUAAGUCGGAUGUGAAAUCCCCAGGCUCAACUUGGGAACUGCAUCCGAUACUGGAUGGCUUGAAUCCGGGAGAGGGAUGCAGAAUUCCAGGUGUAGCGGUGAAAUGCGUAGAUAUCUGGAGGAAUACCGGUGGCGAAGGCGGCAUCCUGGACCGGCAUUGACGCUGAUGAGCGAAAGCUAGGGGAGCGAACAGG